rnacentral:rRNA from 1 species
AGAUCACUAAAAGGACGCGGUAUCUUGACCGUGAUAAUGUAGCGUAAUCACUCGCCGCCUAAUUAGCGGAUAGUAUGAAUGGUUGAACGAGUAUAACACUGUCUCAAGUAAAAAUUUUAUAAAAUUGGAGUAAUAGUAAAGAUACUAUUUAAACUUAUAAGACGAAAAGACCCUAUAGAGCUUAACUAUAAUCUUUUAUUUCUUUGAAUAAGAUUUCUUAUUAUGGAUGAAAGACUGGUAGUUUAGUUGGGGCGACUGUUUUCUAUAAAAAACGAAAACAAACAAAGUUAAUUAAUUAACUUAUUGUAUAACUAAUAAAUUUAACAAUUACUACAGUAGGUAAUAAUGACCCGUUUUUUAAUGCAAAAAUUAAAAACGAUUAAUAAAUAAAAGCUACCUUAGGGAUAACAGGAUAAUUUU